GCGCCCGUAGCUCAGCAGGAUAGAGCGUCGGUUUCCUAAACCGCAGGUCGGAGGUUCGAAUCCUCUUGGGCGCA
rnacentral:tRNA from 1 species